CAGUGAAGAAGAUGAAUGAUUAAUUUGAAUAGAAGACAUCUGCAGGGUAUUGAUUAACAGGAACAGCACUGGGAUAAAUGAGAACUUGCCACUUAGAUGGACUUCACAACAAUUUCUUCCUUCUCAGAGACGGAAGGCAGAGAUAUAAGGGUUUCUCUCAAUCUUUCCAUAGUUAAGAUGGGGAUACUACUUUGUAUGUGAAAGCUUUUUUACUAUAUGAAAACCAUUAAUUUGCAUCUCAAACAUUUUUUUCCUAUCAGUCUAUACAAUAUCAGAGUUUGUCUAAAAGUAAGACUACAGUGACACCUUUGUGGUGUUCUUUGGCCUGGAUCUGAAUUCUGACCUGCCACUAAUCUGAGCACUGCUUAUGCUAAUAUAGUUCAGAUGUCAUCAUUAAUACAGUGAGUGUCUUCCUGAAAAAUUAAUGUCAAAUGUUUAGCAACUAAAUCAUGUUUGUGCUGUGCUCGGCAAGCUUAUUAACGAAAUGAAGUUUUACAAAUUAAGAUAUACUUUCUAAAAUUCCUGUUCUUAAACUAUGUAUAGAAGUUUGGUUUCCAAAUACUUGUUUUCCUUAAACCAGAGCACAUCUACUUAAUUUUUUUUUCCCCCAUGGGAUCACCUCCUAAGCAAAUGACUUGCACUGCCCCCAAGGAAACCCAAAUUAAGAGAGAAAUUAGUUAAUUCCAGACAUACAUUAUAGAACUCAAGAAUGAGCAGCAAGGAUGGAAGAGAUCGUUAAAUGUUAGCUCUUAGGCAUCACAUAUUCCAGCUGCCUUCCUAUCUGUUUAUAUGUGUAAGGAAACAGGCUCCAAGAGAGGGUUAAAUCAGAAUGUUAGUCACUACUAACUGAAACACGUAUUUUCUACUUAUCCCUUUGAUCCCUUCCAGUGUUGGUGAGCGUAUGGUGAGACAGGUCUCUCACUCAAUGCCAGUAGACUCUAUCUUGGUAUAAAUCUGGUAGAAAACAUGGUCAUAAAUAGGGCACCCUGGUUUUAACCCAGGAAUUCCUUUCCUAGCAGUAUAUCCUAACUAAAUAACCAGAGUCGUGAUUAGAAUUAUUUAUAGAGAUGGUUAAACAUAAAAUCAGGAAAACAUUAAAUAGAUAAUAGAUUAUCUUUACUGUGAUUAAAAAUCAUGUUUUUGAAGAAUACUUAAUAUUGUGGGAAGAUGCUCAUGAUACAAUACAUUGGAAAAAAUUAUAACCAGUAUUUGGUUAUAAUACUAAACACGUAUUAUAACAAUUUUUAAAGUUUUUUGAGUAGUUUUUAAAAAGAAUGAAGGGCCAUUUAGAAUAAUGUUCACAAUGGUUAUCAGGGUUGUUGGGUUAAAUAAAUGGUGUUUUAAAAUUAUUUUUUGGCAUUUUCCUCACUUUUAUAGUGAGUGCCUAGUAUAGUUAGACUUAACAUUUUUUAAAGCAUUAACUACAUUGUUUUCCAGUAAUAAAUAUCUAGUUAAUCUUAGAAUCAACAGGGCUAGACUCCCAGAUUUUCUUUAUUCACUGCACCACGCAUGAUUCAGUAAAUUUCAAAAGUUGUGGUAUUAUAGUUGCUUGUUCCUCAGGUACUUUAGCAGAGCUGAUAGCACACUGGCUGAUCUAAUUGAGUGUUUCUUCCUUUUCUUUUCCUCAGUGUACCUACGGGUAGGGAUAUCAAUAGGCAGUGAAAUAUUCACAAACUGGUAAGGAAGAGAGAACUUUGAUAAUCCACAGAUUUUAUAACCAGUCACUGAAUUAUUAAGAGUUUUGUUAUGAGAAGAGGCUUUUAAAUUAAUGAUGGGCAUAAUAUGUCCAAUGGGACCACAUUCAGAUAAGCUGGUAUAAUUUACCACAAUCAGUAUUUGCUUAGCUUUCAGCUGCAUGUUUCUUACGUGUCAUCUUUUUGCCUCAUUCAUUGUUUCAGGCCACACAAAGUCUACGAAUCCUUUUCAUCCUACAUAUUCAUCACAGAAUCCUAAGGAUUUUAUGAGCACAAACUUAUCUAAACCUAGCACAUAACAUAUUUGCUAUCUUUAGCCUAAGAAAUAAAAGUUUAGAAACCAUUGAGUAUCUAAGAACAGCAAAGUGAAGAUGAUUGUUUGUAGCCCUCACUAAAGAAAAUUCAGAAUCAAGAGAAAAUUCCACUAUUUUGCCACCCUCAGAGGGAUAGCAUAGAUGUUCUGACUUUGCAGUAAUAAAAAACUGCAGUCCUUUAGCAUAACAGAGCUCCUGCUCGCUGAGGAUUGUUGGAAUAGCUCUCAUGGCAGGUCAGUGACAGUCCCACUGUGAAUUCCUAUAGUUGCCUAUAAAUUCUCAGCUCACAUUAUGUUUACCUUUAUGCAGUUACUUCCCAUGGAAGAAUAAUGUUACAGAAUGAAAAGCUAACAUAACUCAGGACUUGAUGGGCGAAGAGGAGGUCUUGAAUUUUGUGAAAACGCUAUUUGACAGACCAGGUGCUCUUUUGAACUUCGCCACUGCAUCACAACUAGACCCUGAACAGGAUGGAUUUCUGGACUUCUGAAAGGUAGGAGAAAUUUCUGAGGACCACCCUGGAAUAGGGGCUGACACUGGGAUUCCCCCAUUGAAGUAGGACCUUUGAAAGAGGCUGAAGUAGCACAAAGUCAGCAGACCCCAACUUCUGGCUCCUGCCUGAAGCAAGUCUAAAAGCUCUCUGAGGAAAUUAUAUUCAUUUUAGGCCCUGGAUUCCUACAGAUUAAGAUGAAACAGUGAACUCCCAAAGAUCGCUAAACAUACAAGGAGGUACAAGGAAUGAGAGUCAACAGAAGAAAUAGCAGAUGUAGACUGCUAAUGACUGAAGAUGCUGGAACUGUCAGACAAUAAUAUCAGUAAGCCCUAUAUUGAAUGUUUAAAGUGUGGAAUCAUAGUUAUGAGCAAGCAACAAGAGACUGUUAAGAAUGACCAAGUUGAUUUGAAAGAACCAAAUUGCACCACUCAUUAUGAUGCAGCUGAACAUAGAAUGAACUGGAAGAUAUAUCUUAAGAAAUUAUUCAGAAUGUAGCACAGAGAAAUGAGAAAAUGGAAAAUAGAUGUAAAUUAAGAGAUAUGACGGAUAGAAUGUCAAGCUCAAAUACACAUCAAAGUGAAGUCCCAGAAAGAGAGAAUAGAGAAAACAGAGAAGUCAGAUUUGAAGAGGAAUGGCUGAGACAUUUUUAAAACUGAUAAAAGAAUCCAUGAUUCAAGAGGUAUAACAUAAUCUAAGCAAACAAAAAAGACAUUGACACCUAGACAAAUAAUGAAACUGCAGAAUAUCGGUGACAAAGACGUGGAAAGCAAUCAGAAAAGACAGUUUACCUACAAAGAAAUGACAAACAAGCUGAUUUUUUUGAUAAUAGCCCAGAAACCAGUUCCCACACCAGAUGGAAAAUGCUGACCACUGUCAUAGACCUCAGAAAGACUGAAACCAAAAAAUAGAUAAGGAAGUUCCAGAAAUUCCCUAGCUCUUAACUCAUUAUGGAUACCCCCUCACUCCUGCUUUAAAAACCCUUGCUUAUAAGCUAGCAGGGAGCUCAGAUGUUAAGUGCUAGGUACCCAUUCUUCUUGCUUGGCACCCGGCAAUAAACGCCUUUUUCUCACUACAAAUCCCAGCAUCAAUGUUUGGCUUUUUUGGCAUGCUGGGCGACCAGAACCAACCCCUUCCUUGUGUACUUGCAUCUGACUCUGAUGAGCCUAUGUAUGUCAAGCUGGUCGAGGCCCUUUGUGCUGAACACCCAAUCAACCUAAUUCAGGUGGAUGACAACAAGAAACUAGGGGAAUGAGUAGGUGGCAUUUGCAAAAUUGACAGAGAGAGGAAACCCUGUAAAGUGGUUGGUUGUACUUGUGUAGUAGUUAAGGACUAUGGCAAGGAGUCACACGCCAAGGAUGUCAUCAAAGAGUACUUCAAAUGCAAGAAAUGAACAAAUCUUUGGCUCACAAACCCCACAAACUUUUGAAUGAAAUCUACUUAUAUGAUGUGACAUACAUUUCUUUCAGACAUGGAUUUUGAAAUCCUAUCAGUAAAAGCCACCAGGUGAGACUGACAAGUCUGGUUUUGAGCAUGUACCUGCUUUGUUUUCUGAUAUCUGCAAAUUAGGGUGACCCAGUGCAGGCUCCUGACAUUUUGACCAUGACAGGCUGGCUGAAGCCUGGGAGCUCGUUGUGCCCAUCCUCAGAGAUGUCCGUGUGUGACACAGCAGAGACUACCCCAGAGAUAACAGAUGAAAGCCAGCAGAGUACAAGGCAUAAAUGUGCGUGUCCUUCUGUUUCUUUUUUCUUUUUUAAGGGGUUCUGACUGAGCAGGCAGAUAGGGAAGGAAGAAUCAGAUGAGGAGCAAGUGCUGGGUAUUGGGGAAACAAUUUAAAUUUCCUACCACCCCAGAAUUUCCUCUCUAUAAAAUAUAGGAGAGAAAAAAAUUUAUUAUUGAAUAAACAUGAAACUAGUGAUGCGUAUCUUUAGCAUUCUGCUAAGGAGAUUGCAAAGACAGAAAGACAUCCCACCCUUUUAUAUAAGCAAGCAAAUGGGACCCAUUCAUUGCAUACAUGUUCUCUAACUCAAGUAAGAGGACAUGACAGCACCAUUUGUCAAGCAUAAUUCCUCCUAAAUUCACCUGGUAAUUGGGGUGGCCAUUUAUGUUUGCUAAUUGCCUUUAUAAAAAGGAAAAAUAAAACUGAAGUCUCUAGGACAGCAGGUAGUUUUACAACUUGGAGCCAGGUGCUUACGUGAAACUACUACCCACUGACAGUGGGAGGUAGGGAGCUAUCUUCCUUGAUGUCUACAUUUUCAAAGAGAUGGCUUCCAGACCCUUGCAGGAAAAGAGUCCUAGGUUGUAAAAUCGACUGGAGCCUUACUUAGCUUUUUAAAAGAUUUAUAUACAUUUCAAAGGGGCAGCAAAAUACUUUACAAUUUUUCUAAAGGAAAUGCUCUAAGUAAAAGGAAGAAGCUCUUCCCCUUUUUGCAUGGGCUUGUGGGAUAACAUUCUGGAAUUCAUGAGGAGCAUGAAUUGGUUUCCUCCCUCCACGUGCUGGAGGGCACUGUGUAUGAAGCUUGGCAAGGCUGCAGUCAGGGGUGGACAAUCACUGGGAAUUCCACGCAUCAAAGGGACAAGGGACAAUCACUGGGUCCAUCCUAUACUUCAGAGGGACAAGACCCAAUGAAUGUAGAACUGGGCCACAGUUUCUCUUGGUUCUCAAAGCAUGCUGGCCCACACAUGAUAGGUUAUCAUUAAAUGUCUGAUGAGUGAGUGAAUGAAUGUCAGGAGCCUGAGAGACUUUAGAGGUUAUUUACCUCAGCUGAAAUUCAGGCAUCCCUUUCCCUAGGCUCUCCUUAAAUACCAGCAGUGCUGGCGAUCCCACCGCUUGCCAAAGCAACCCAUUUUACUGGAUAACUAAUUAUUAUAACAUUUUUCAUAUCUCAAUAAAGAGAGAAAACAAAAUCAGAGUACUUUCAAGGGCAAGGUGCUUUUUUCAAAACAAUCCCAAGAAGCAAGUAUCCCAAGUCACAGAGGAGGGAACUCAAAAACAGAGACUUUAACUAACAGCCCAGGGUCACACAGCUAAAGGGAAAUCACAUGUACCGAGUGUUCUGCAUCAGGCCCUCAUUUAAAUAAAGAUCCUUUCACUCACAAGGGUUUACCAUACAAAUAUUACAGCAUGUCUAGAUGGGGUCACCCCCUUUGUCUCCCAAGGAAUGGAGCUGCCAGAGAGUUCCAGCUGCCUCAGAUUCUCCCUGAUCUCUCAGGGAUGCUGAGUGUUUUCCCUCAAGCAGGGUUUCCACAGGCGAAUGCCGAGGGGAGGCUAAGUAUGGGGCCAAAAUGCCCACAGCACAUAGGUGUCAUUCCAGGCAGCACUGAGGGGAAGCAGAACCAGGGGAUGGCCCUUGGGGCCUUCCUUCGCAGGAACACCACUCACCACAGAGUUCCAGGCGAUCAGUGGGUCAUGUGAGUCAAGGGCAAGUGAGUGAAUGACACUGAUAUGCUUCAGGUAGGGAGAAGCCAUGGUGGGCAGCAUUGGAGGGAGGGGAAAGAGGGGGCGAGGAGGGGGUGGAGAUAGUAUUUGUCUACUUAUUCAUCUGAUGACUAUUUACCUACUGUGUGACAGCUUUUCCAGUCCUUAGUCUGAGGAAAAACCCUGUGCUGAGCACUGGGUUCUAUUAGUUUUAUGAGUAUUACCCCAUUUAAUCCUCACUACAGACCCAGGAAGUAGAUGCUCGUGUUAUUCCCAUUUUACAAGUGAGCAGAUGCAGGGAGAGAAAGGCAAAAUAACUCACCCAGGACCACACAGUUUGUGAGUGGCAGCGCUGGGAUUCUGGCCAGCAGUCAUAGUCGACACUCAACCAGGGCCCUCUGCUGGGCAACUAGAAAUUGUGUGUGAUUUGUGGUCUACUUGGGGAGCCAGAGCCUCUUGGGGGGUCCUGGGAGGGCAUGGUCGGCUAUGGGACAGACCAUUCAACGAUGUUGUUUGAGGAGCCUUGUCAGGUCUUAACCAUACCAAAGCAUUGUAUUGCAUGCCUCCACCCGCCCUGGGACUAGGACCAGGUCACACACUGCACAAGAUUCCAGUGGGAACAACGAAUAGACCCCUGCACACCCAUGUGCAUCAGUGGAGGACUGUGGAUGCCGUGUGCCCCCACUCCUCCCUCCCAACAGCUGCUUCCAGGCAUCUUCUAGCUGGGGAAAUGGCCAUUGCCUUCAGCCCACAGCAGACUUAGCCUACCCUUGAAUGCUGCUGGAAAAAAAGAAAGGACUAAAUGCGUCCCCUGUUCUAUUCCUAGUCCAGAUUCUUAAGGAUGAGGACACAGCAUCCUGGGCCACUGUCACUAAUACAAAUUUGCCUCUGAGGGACUCUAUGAAAGAUAAUUCCGCUGAAAUUUGGAGAGUUGAAUUAAGCUAGGACUGAGUGUGCCUGGAAUUUGUGGCGGCCACCUACUCUAGAGGGCCUCAAGGAAAACCAUGGUUCAGGACAACUCUGAUAGAUUCUAGAGUCUAGAACAGAACACCUGUUCUACCAGGGAUGGAUUUGAACAUGGGCAAGGCCAACCACCAAGUUCAUGGCCUGUGUACAGCAAAGAUUACGUUACAUCCUGAGAGCUAAGCCUGGAAGCUCUUUCGUCCAUCUGUUUGUCCAUCCAUCCAACCAUCCAUCCCUCCAUCUGCUCAACAAAUGUUAGAGAAUCAAUCCCUGUGUCAGAUACUGGGGCUGCCCUCAAGGAGCUUUUAUAAAGUUCAGGGUACAGCCUGGUGGGGGAGACAGAUCACUGUAAAAACCUACCACUAUAAUCCAAAGGACAAGAGCAAAAAUAGUAAAGAGGAGAGAAGACUCAAGUUUCCCUGGUGGGUCAGAGAGGGCUUUCUAGAGCAGGUGAAAAAUCUUUGGGGCUAUCGCUUCACCUCAUCCGGUGGAUAACGGGAGGACUUUCCAGAUACAGUGGACAGAAUGUGCAGAGGCAGGAGCCAUGAGUGGCAGAGGCAGGGCAGGGACUGCAGGGACAGGCUGGAGCCGAAGCACGAUGGCACUGGAGCCAUAGCCAAAGG